GGAAGAUGCGGAGAGAGGAGCAGAGGCGAAGGAAGCACCUUACUCGGCGGGGAACGACGGCAAAGCGCUACAGCAACAGACCAGCCUGGCUUCACCGGAAGCAGUUUUCCUCAAGCUACCUACUUUCAGACCCUUCAUCUAACUGAGCCUCUCGUCUUUGUCGUCGUCGUUAGCGAGCCCAAGGACAGCAGGAGGAAACGCCGCGGGGUCGCGCCGGCCUCACAGCCCUCGCAAUGCUGAGCCCAGGGUUGCAGCCACUGUGUCAGUCCACCUCGUGGGGGGUCUUCCUCUUCCCGGGACCCUCUUCCUUAACAAGCAUGAUGUUCUUCUCCAGAGACUGGUCCCUCCUGAUAACGUGUCCACAGUAUGAGACAUAGUGGAAACCCCGGUGGCACAGUGGUUAAGAGCGUGGCUGCUAACCAGAAGGUCGGCAGUUCGAUUCCACCAGCCGCUCCUUGGGAACCCUAUGGGGCAGUUCUCCUCUGCCCUACAGGGUCAGUAUGAGUCGGAAUUGCAUUGCUGGCCUUCUCUUUGUAAGAAUACACACCUUGUCUUGGUGAAAAUGAUUAAAAAGAGAACAACUUGCUUUUAUCUUCCUAGAUUUUUCUGAAAAACUUCCAAGGAAACUUUGGCUUCAAAUACUGGAAUAUAUGCAUCCAACUGAGGUCUGAGGAAGAAUAAAGUUAAAAUUGAACAACCUGUUUUUUUCUUCCUUCAUUUUUUUGAACAACUUCCAUGGAAACUUUGGCCUCAUAUAGUGGAAUGGGUUCAUCUAGCUGAGGUCUAAGGAAGAAUGAAAUUAGAAAUGUCAGGUCUAGUUAAAGAUGAUCAGAACACACAGGACAGUGGUUGACAGUUACUGUAACUCAAAUCUAUUUAAAUAAACUUGUCUGUCACUACUUCCCGCUGGGUAUCACUACUUCCACUGUUAAAAAUAAAGGUCAAAUUUUGAAGGGAGAAUAUACCUUCUUUAUCCACUCCCUUUUUUCAGUGAUAACCAAAUCCAACUUUUUCUUUUUUUAAUCAUACUGUACUUUUCUCUCUUUUUAUGUAAUGGGUUGUUCCCAGUUGCUUUGGGAGGAACGAUGAGGGAAAGCAAAGGACCAAGUAUGAGAUGGGAUGGAGUGGGGAAAACCCAUGUGCCAAUUCUAGCUUUAGGAAUUCUUACGUACUACUAGACACACUUUGAGAAAUAUUAAAAAGCAGUCAUUUCUCUAAGUAAUUAAAUAUGGAGGCAAUAGGUGUACCCAUGUGUAGAAGUCGGAAAAAAAAAAAAUGGAAAUGCCUGCCUUUUCUCGAGAACAGAAAAAUAAACAAGAAUGAUUUGGUUACUUUGCGUACCUAAAAACACCCGUUGAUAGCUUCUCCAUCACAUCUCUUAAGAUACGUAGCUGGAAGGAUUGUUAAGGUGGCAACGUAAAGGAGAAAGAAUUAAAUAAAACCAUUCAAUAAGCAGAAGAUGCCAGGCAGGUCACCUAUCUUGAUUUUGUUGCAAGAUUUUUUUUUAGUUUUUAACCCUCUAAAAUUCAAAAUGUUAAGUUACAGAAAUUCUGUACACUGUCAAGUUUCCCUCUACAACAGGAAAAUAGGGAAACAAUUUGAGAGAGGUGGUGGUGUGACUGACACAGGCUAAACUUCUAAAGACAAAUGAUGACAGAAGUGGCCUAGUGCUUGUCCUAAGUAAUGACUGAUGUUAUCCCAAGCUGACGGUGAUUGAGCAGUGAUAGGUUUUUAUUUCUGUACUAUUUAUGGCAUUUUUAAGUAAAAAAUUAACACCUGUAUCUCUUUAGAUGCACACUUAUUUACCAAAUGGAUUGGUAAUAGGCUCAAAAUUUGUGCGCAAGGAAGAAGUUUAUAAAUUGUGUGUAUAUAUGUCACCAAGAAAAUCAGGAAAUGUAAAAAUUAAAAAAGUUCACCUUAGUCAUUUAGUUUUGGAAAUUAUAAUAUCGAGAUCAAGAGUCUGUAUGUAAUUGCUAGUACUGGAGAAUUGAUGGCACAUAAUCACAACUGAAAGGAGAUCUCCGUGUGAUCUCACAUGCAGCACCUGACUCGUGUAAUCUGAGGGAUACUACCCAUGUGGGGAUUAAAGUUGGCUUAAGGACUUUAGAAAAUGUAAAUUUAGAAAAUACAAUCACAAGCAAUUUUAAAGAUUAAAGAAAGACUUGAAGAAUAUUAAUCACUUUUUCACAACCCUGCAAAUAAAUUCUCUCUACCUGUUACUGGAACUGCCAUCAGUAUAUAUAUUAUUUCUUUAGGAAACGUAACUCAUUUAUAUAAACAUGUCAUAUUUCAACACAGUCCAUGGAUUUAUCAAUUAGAUUAAAAUCACUUUCUCACAGUUGAGGGUUGGGGGAAUGAGAGAAUUAACAGACAGAACAGCCAGCCUAGCUUCUCACACGUAAGAUUCAAAAUAUUGACUAAUAUCACUUUAAAUUUAAUUGGUGUUCUCUACUGUUAACAUCCCAUGGUAUUCUUGAUGAUUACAAUGCUAUUGGACAUUUGGAAACCCUGGUAGCAUCGUGGUUAAGAGCUCAGCUGCUAACCAAAAAGGUUGGCAGUUCAAAUCUACCAGGCGCUUCUUGGAAACCUAAUGGGGCAGUUCUACCCUGUCCUGUAGGGUCGCUGUGAGUUGGAAUCAACGUGACAGCAAUGGGUUUGGGUUUUUUUUUGGUUUAUUGGACAUUUAGGUUGUUUAAAAAUGAAAUUUUAAAAAUUCUUUUAGCCAAUAAAAGUUUAUUUUCCAAAUUUAAUACUUAAUCAAAAAUGUUAAACUUGUACAGUCACUAUGUUAAUGGAAUGUUUCUGAUUUUGAAAUCUCUUUAAAACUUAACAUGUGCAGUAUGUUAAUUACAUUAAAAUUACAUUUUAAAGCUUUGAAUUAAGUCUGUCAUUGCUCCUGAAGGACACUGGCCUUUAUGCAUAUCACAUAUGUAACUACAGACAUAUAAUGGUAAAGUACAAGACCCAGUAGAGACAAACACAAGGCUAUGCAAACUUUUUCGUGUGUGCACAUACUUCAGUAAGUAACAAGAACUUAUUUUUUGUCCAAUACAUUAAAGCUUUUACCAAGUACAGUUGACUUUAAAACUAAUCUUAGAAAUAAAGGGUUUAUUUUUAAGUUGACUAUGCUCUAGAAAGUUCUGGACCUUUUCUUACGGGACUGCUUUCAUGUUCUCUCAAGAAAACUUACCAUUACUUUGACCAAAACUGGCAUGAUUUGGCUUCAUUCACCUGGCUCAUCUCUGAAUAACUUUCUUUUUUUAAAAAUGAGGUUUUAUCCUCACUUGAAGGUUUCCUGGCAUCAAUAUCUGUGACAGUGCCCCACAAAUUUUAAAUCAGGUAACCAUUCCGAGGUGUUUUCUGCAGUGGCCCUGUGAUAGGAGUAAGCAUCCAGCCUCUCAAAGUGACAUGUGGAAUUGCCAUAAUGUCAGGUUAAAAACAAACCUUCCAUGUAUUUAUGGUUUAUCUGCUAUUCAGAAAGGAGCCAGACUGCUGGGGUGUUUGUUCUAUUCUGCCACUUGCUAGUUGUGUCCUUGGACAUGCAUUAACCUCUCUGUGCUUGUUUCUUCACCUGUGAAAUACAGGUAACUAUAGGACUUACACCUCAUAGGGUUGUUUCACUAUUUAAAUGAACUAAUUCCUGCAAAGCGUGUGAAAUGUUUGGCAUACUCAGUGAAAGUUAGCUGCUGUUAUUAUUAAAAAACUUCACAAUCAGAGUACAAGGUAAAUUUCAAGCUAGAAACACAAAUCACUAAAAAAAGGAUAUAAAGGUAUUUUCCCUGUUUUACAUUUGACAGAUUCCAAACUUCAUCAUUAAGGAAAGACACUGUUGCUCCCUUGAGGAAAAGGCAGUGGCUAUCUGGAGGAUCCAACUUGGACAGAAUGCAAAAAGACUAGUCAGUCACUCUUGAGUUUAACAGCAGAAGGAUGACUGGUAUCUUGAGCCAGAAAACCUUCCACACAGAUUAAGUAAUGCCCAAAUCACAAAUAAUCAACGUGCAAACUUCAGUAACACUCUAUAAACUACAAUGUUUUCUAAUUCCUGAUUCACAAUGAUGAAAUGGCAAGGUGAUAUGUACAGGGGAGAUACAGGGCCGAUCUAGAAUCCUGGUGAUGAGGCAGUAGUGGUGUCGGGGUGUGUGUGUGUGUGUGUGAGAGAGAGAUUUCUGGCCACUACUGACCAGUCACCCUAGUGAGGAUGUUGAAAAAUCUAUAAAGAUUCGUAUAUAAGAAUUACGGUAUUUGCAUAUCAAUCAUGAUAUAUACUUAAUUGAAAUUCUGUUGAAAAUAAGCUUGAGAGAUUACAUAAAUACCACACCUACCACCCACUACCGUGGAGUUGAUUCUGACUCAUAGCGACCCUACAGGACAGAGUAGAACUGCCCCAUACAGUUUUCCAAGGAGCACCUGGGAGAUUCAAACUCCCCACCUUUUGGUUAGCAGCCGUAGCUCUUUUGCACUAUGCCACCAGGGUUUCCAACAUAUAGUUAAUUCCAAUUUGAAUAAUUAGGAAAUUAUGAUAAUUUUAUAUAGAAAAAAUUUGCUAAGUACAUGUCAACAAUGUUACUAGGAAAAAAAUCCUAUUAAAAAAUUUAUAAGUCACUACCUUCCAAACUACUAGAUGAAAUUAGUUAUAAUCAUUUCAGUUGAAGGAACUCCUCUACUAGGCAGUAUUUCAGCGUUUUGUUGGUUAGCAUGUAGCUUAACUUAAAAAAGCUACAUUUCUUUAAAAAAUGUGACAUAAUUUAGGACUUUAACUAACUUAGCCAGACCUUGCCUCCGAAAAGACUUAGGCGUUCCCUUUGUUAGCUCCCCACCCUUUGGUUUAAAAGAUAAUACCUGAAGGUUUUCUUCUCUUGUUACCCAGUGGCCUCCAACACCUAGAAGUGUGACGAUGUCAUGCUUAUGUGGUAGUUGUAAUUUGACAGUGGGUUCAUCAACUUUACUAUAUAAUCUCACUUAUAAGGAGUAGUAAAAGAAAAAAAGAGAAGAAAUAUAUUUUAUAAUAACCUGCACAAAAAUUUAUUUCUCAAACAAGUUCUCAUUACCUUUUAACAUAGGAAUGAAGAAGAAUUUUCCUUAGAAAAAUGCAGUUUAUUCAGAAAACUUAAACAUUUGGUACUAAAACUGGUCAUAAAAUUUACACUAGAUUUAAUUUUAAAUGAAAUAACUAAAGUCAUUUUCACUUGAAAACCAGGCAAGAUAACAACACGUAACUAAGUCUGAUAAUCAUAACGUUGAUAGCUUACUACGUUGGGAAAAGUUAAUUUCUUUUGGUAAAUAAAGAACUCAUAGACUCAAGAUACUUUGAUGUGAUUAUUUAAAUGUCUGUUUGGAAAAAUGGAAGGUCAGUUUAUUUCCACUGACAAAUUUUUCCUCUGAUUUCAAAUCUUGAAAAAACUGUUUAAAAAGAAACACGAUGGCAAAAUCCCACAAUAAAAGAUGCAUCAAAAUAUAAUGGGAACCCUCUGCAGGCUUGUGAAACUUACCCGUUAUGUGCAGUGGCAUGACCUAAGCGUGUACAGAUUGGGUACUAAAUAGAUAUAAACUAAAAAAGCUCAAGAAAGAUGAAAAGGGAGGAAAAUUCUGUGUGUUUUCCAGAGACUUCAGAAGUCCACCACCCAACAGAGGGCAGCUGCACACAGCGGAACCGGAAGUGCCUGAAAAAGCAUCUCAGUGAAAUCGGAACUGAUGUGUACCAUCUGGGAACCAUUUACGAGAUAUGGAGAUUAUUCCUACGCUGGAAUUUUAAUGGAUUUUCUACAGCUUUGAAAAGAAUGUCUUGGAAGGGCUGAACACUGAACACUGCAGACAAGGACGAAUGUCUGCAUUCUUGGUGAGAGGACUUAAGAGGAUCUCACUAAUUUACUUCUUGGAUCACACUCAUGUUCUAGAGUUGCCCAACAGAAGCCGGUAACCUUGAUCUCUAAUUCCUAGAAGUAUAACUAUAUAGAAAAAAAAACUUUUGGAUUCUUAAAAGCUAUGAUGACAUUAUAAUCUAAUACAUUAUAAGUCCAAUAAACUCUGAUAUUCAUCUUUCAAAAAGAGAGAAAAUGGACCUGCUCUAUUUAUCAUGGCACAUUAAUUCAUAGUUUAUUUAACAUUUGGAGGCAUUCCACAUAUUUCAUGGUCAAUAAUGGAAGAUUACUGUAGGGCUGGGUAGGGGAGAGAGAGAGACAGGGAUGACUACAGAAGGAAUAUGAACCACAUCUAAAGCCAUUAAAUGGAAACACCUAUAGAAGAGACAGUUAGCAAAUUAAUGGACUAGGUUUUUAGUUCUAUCUUUAUUUAUAAAGAUAAUUUCUUCCUUGAUUACAGGCCUUAAUAAUUGCAAGUACUCAGCCUUUUACAAUGUGAAGUUUAUAAAAUAUAUAAUGAUACAAAAUACAUGAUUUCAAUUAGGCUAAUAAUUUACCUUAAGAAAGUAGGAAUACACAAAUAUACAUAAUUUUUUUCUAGCUGGUCUAUUCUUCUAAGGAUGCUAAUUAUUCCUUGGCACUCAGACGUUAGUUAUUUUGUCUGUACACAAAAUAUAAAACUCUCACUUGACUUUUGGCCAAAAUAAAUGCACCAAAUACCUUUGUG